rnacentral:lncRNA from 1 species
AACCAAUGGAGAACCCCUCUUUUUCAAAAAAUCUAAAAUCUACAUUUUUCUCGGGUUCUACCUUUCUAACAGAUAAGAAAAUUUUACUGGGGCUUAAUGGAGAUCGAGAAGAACCUGGAGCAGAUGCCGAAACAGGAAUGGAAGCAGAAGAGGUCUGAGAAGCCUAUCUCUUCCUGCGCAUGCCCUCUUCCAACUCGCGGACCGACUUUCUUCUUUGUGGGAGCUUCAUUUUUGGAGCCAUUUCCACCACCAGAGCAAGCAAGGGGACUUGGGAGAUCAAAUGUGUGAGGAGAUAG